rnacentral:rRNA from 1 species
GAUGAACGCUGGCGGCGUGCCUAAUGCAUGCAAGUCGAGCGAACAGACGAGGAGCUUGCUCCUCUGACGUUAGCGGCGGACGGGUGAGUAACACGUGGAUAACCUACCUAUAAGACUGGGAUAACUUCGGGAAACCGGAGCUAAUACCGGAUAAUAUAUUGAACCGCAUGGUUCAAUAGUGAAAGACGGUUUUGCUGUCACUUAUAGAUGGAUCCGCGCCGCAUUAGCUAGUUGGUAAGGUAACGGCUUACCAAGGCAACGAUGCGUAGCCGACCUGAGAGGGUGAUCGGCCACACUGGAACUGAGACACGGUCCAGACUCCUACGGGAGGCAGCAGUAGGGAAUCUUCCGCAAUGGGCGAAAGCCUGACGGAGCAACGCCGCGUGAGUGAUAAAGGUCUUCGGAUCGUAAAACUCUGUUAUUAGGGAAGAACAAAUGUGUAAGUAACUAUGCACGUCUUGACGGUACCUAAUCAGAAAGCCACGGCUAACUACGUG